rnacentral:rRNA from 1 species
ACUCAAAGGAAUUGACGGGGGCUCACACAAGCGGAGGAGCAUGUUGUUCAAUUCGAAGCAACGCGAAAAACCUUACCUGGGUUUGACAUGUGCGAAGUAGGAACCCGAAAGGGCAACGAUCCACGCAAGUGGUAAACGCACACAGGUGCUGCAUGGCUGUCGUCAGCUCGUGUCGUGAGACGUUAGGUUAAGUCCUGUAACGAGCGAAACCCCUGUCGUCUGUUGCCACCAGGUUAUGCUGGGCACUCUGACGAGACUGCCGAUGUCAAAUCGGAGGAAGGUGGGGACGACGUCAAGUCAUCAUGGUCCUUACGCCCAGGGCUACAAACGUGCUACAAUGGUCGGUACAGAGAGACGCAAUACCGCGAGGUGGAGCAAAUCUUCAAAACCGGCCUCAGUUCGGAUUGGAGGCUGAAAUUCGCCUCCAUGAAGCCGGAUUCGCUAGUAAUCGCGGAUCAGAUACGCCGCGGUGAAUAUGUUCUUGAGCCUUGUACACACCGCCCGU